GACGAACGCUGGCGGCGUGCUUAACACAUGCAAGUCGAACGGACAGGCCCUGCUCUUGUGGGGUGCUCGAGUGGCGAACGGGUGAGUAAAACGUGAGUAACCUGCACUUGAAUUUGGGAUAACUUCAGGAAAAUGGGGAUAAUACCGGAUAGGAGCUAUUGCAGCAUGGUGGGGGUUGGAAAGUUUCGGCGGUUGGGGAUGGACUCGCGGCUUAUCAGCUUCUUGGUGGGGUAGUGGCUUACCAAGGUUUUGACGGGUAGCCGGCCUGGGAGGGUGGCCGGCCACAUGGCUCCUGCGGUACGGCGCAGACUCCUACCUGCGGCAGCAGGGGGGAGUAUUGCACAGUGGGCGGGAGCCUGAUACGGCAGCCCCGCGUUCGGAAUGACGUGCUUCGGGUUGUAAACCGCUUUCGCCUGUGACGAAGCGUGAGUGACGGUAAUGGGUAAAAAAGCACCGGCUAACUACGUG
rnacentral:rRNA from 1 species